rnacentral:rRNA from 1 species
UACGUAGGGUGCAAGCGUUAAUCGGAAUUACUGGGCGUAAAGCGUGCGCAGGCGGUUUCGUAAGUCUGUCGUGAAAUCCCCGGGCUUAACCUGGGAAUGGCGAUGGAGACUGCGAGGCUAGAGUUUGGCAGAGGGGGGUAGAAUUCCACGUGUAGCAGUGAAAUGCGUAGAGAUGUGGAGGAACACCGAUGGCGAAGGCAGCCCCCUGGGUCAAAACUGACGCUCAUGCACGAAAGCGUGGGGAGCGAACAGG